CCUACGGGUGGCAGCAGUGAGGAAUAUUGGUCAAUGGGCGCGAGCCUGAACCAGCCAAGUCGCGUGAAGGAUGACUGCCCUCCGGGUUGUAAACUUCUUUUAUAAAGGAAUACAGUGAGGCACGUGUGCCUUUUUGGAUGUGCUUUAUGAAUAAGGAUCGGCUAACUCCGUGCCAGCAGCCGCGGUAAUACGGAGGAUUCGAGCGUUAUCCGGAUUUAUUGGGUUGAAAGGGAGCGUAGAUGGGGUGUUAAGUCAGUUGUGAAAGUUUGCGGGUCAACCGUAGAAUUGCAAUUGAUACUGGCAGCCUUGAGUACAGGUGAGGUAGGCGGAAUUCGUGGUGUAGCGGUGAAAUGCUUAGAUAUCACGAAGAACUCCGAUUGCGAAGGCAGCCUACUAAACUGCCACUGACAUUGAUGCUCGAAAGUGUGGGUAUCAAACAGGAUUAGAUACCCGAGUAGUC
rnacentral:rRNA from 1 species